ensembl:lncRNA
AUCUCUGUUAUUAUAUUUUAUUUGUUUAUUAUAUGGAGAUGUGGGAGAGGAAUCUUGGAUGGAAAUACUGAAAAAUGCUGAUCUUCCUAUUGGAGGAAAGCUUCUGUUUUGCCUGCCUUGGGUGCUGGAUCAAGGUAUUAAAACAGCAGUGGAGCAGCAGAUGCUAUACCUUGCAUAUUGCUAAAGAUGCUACCUAUGCAGUUCCUAAAAACACGAGCCCUUCUAAUGGGAAGAAGCAGAAAAACUCCCAUUGACUUCAGUUGAGUAUAGAUUUCUGGUGGCAAACAGAGUGGUGGUACUUUCUGAGGAAUGUUUACAGUAGCUUUGACUUCUCUUUUGUACUUUAUAAAACAGUUACAUUCCGUAUAUAAAAGUGUCUGCUUUGCAUUAAAAGCAAGUUUUCUUUUUAAGCAAGUUGAAUAAACCUCCUUUAAAUAGAUGAGACUGUUGGUACCGGGAGCUGUGACUUAGUGUAUAUUCUUUCAACAUUUUCAAAUGCUCAUUACAAUUCCUACUUAUUUUAUAGCAAUAUCACACAAUAAACAUUUCUUUUCUGAUUAAGGGAUUGAAAGAGAACUGAAUUAUAAACAGUAUUAAUAUAAAAGGGAAUUUCUAUCCGGUGCUCUGUAGGCCUGAGUUUAUUUGACCUUAAACAAUCAGUCAGAAGAAGUCACAUCAGCUGCUGUACACAUUCCACAUUACGGAGGAAUUAAAUUAAGCAGCUUUAAUAUCUGUGAAAUGGCACAGGACUGAAAGAGAAUCGUUCCAAUUUAUGGAAUUUGUAUCUGAUUUACUAGUGCAUGUCUAGCAAUUCCAGAGCCACCAAUUGCUUUAAGACCACCUCCAAAGUGUUUUUAUCACUUACAGUAAAUGUGCUAACAUCGUGUUUUAAUUAAACAUUUAAAGUGCAUCAAACAAAUUUAUUGAUGCUGCCAGAAGAGGCAAAAAGAAGGCAAAAAAAAAAAAAAGAAGAAUUUCUCCUAUUUGCAAAAUGCCCUGGUGUACGCAUGAUGGUGUGACCCUGCUAAGACUGCCCUCAAACAUUCCAGCUAAUGUCUAUAAAUUAGCAACUGCUUCCCCUCCCCUCCAGUCCCUCGUUUUCCAUCCCCAACCCCCCAAAUCAUACUUUGUGCAUAAAAACAUGGCAAGAGCUUGUUGAAAGCCAUUCAGCUAUAAUAUCAAAUGGUUGUGAACACUGCAUUUAUUUUUGCUCCUUGAACGCAGGCCUGAUAUUGAAAUGAUAUAAAAGUCCCAACAGCGCUUUAUAUUGAUGUUGGCAUUAAAAAUGCUUUUUCUGUUAGUGAGAGAGAAGUUUCCCCCUUAAAAAAAAUAAAAGCCAAUACCGGGCCUAUCAAAACUUUAUCAUCCUGUUACCACUUGGGCACAGUAUUAAAUAUUCAGAACUGGAGCUGGUUUUCAUUAGAAAUCCUUUUCCCUUCUGCACUGGGGAUCGCAGACCCGCGACGGGUCCAGAAUUCCUACAAUCCUUUAAAAAAGAGAAAAGUAGGCAUGGCAUUGCCAUCACCUGCAAAGACAUGCUUGGAUUUCAGCCCCAAGCUCGCAGGACUGAUGCGGGGUGGCAGGGGCAGAGGUUGGCCUGGGAGCACCGCCGGCCUCACCACCUCCUCCAGUCCUGCUCAUUGCUGCAGGAUGGGGGACCUCAGGGAAUGUGGCCCAACGGUUCAGUGCAGAGAGGCAAUCUGCAGAGGGCUACGUGAUGAUUUAUGCUUUAUGGCACCAAAACUACGGGCAUGUUUUUUGUGUGCAUAAUAUAGCUUGGGUUUCCUUAGGAGGGGAAGAGUAUUUUGUCUUCCUGAGUAACCAUUUGUUUUAGAGACUGAUGAUGGUGGCAGGUUUGCCUUCUUACAUAUCCAUUCUCACAUAUAUCUGUUGUUGUAUUUAGCUGUUCUCUCAUAUGCAGUGGGUCAUAAUAUGAACAGAAAGCAUAUUUCUGUACCAAACAGACGUAUGCAUGCUGGUGCAUAGAGAUAGGUGUCUAAGCAGUUCUUGUUGAGGUCAGUUGCCUGCUAACAAGCUGAUAUACAAAUGUAAAGUGCAUUUCAUUUUUAUUAUGUUAUAUUAUAUAUCAUCUUCGAUUGAAUUUGCUCCGUUUGUUCAAACCCAAUAACUGUAAACAUCACGUGGCUGGAGAGGAAACAAGCAAGGAACCUGAUAGCUGCUGGAUCUGCCAGGAAACUGGCAAGGCAGAACUCAGAAUGCUAUGGCACAGCUGAGAAUGGCUAUUGCUGGGAGACUGUGACUUUUAUUCAGAGAAAAAAAUAAAUGAGGGGGAGUGAUUUUCAAAAAGAAUGAAUUUUGCAUUAAAUCCCGAGUAUGGUUGCUGCAGAAGAGAAGAUAUUUGCCUAUUCAGAUGAUGAGCUGGAUGCAUAAGUGAUCGCAUCAAUGGGUAAUGUGCACAUUCACUCAUGAGGAAAAAAUUUGCAUGCCCUAUAAAGACCUAAAAGUUGAACAUCUGGCCUUUUCUGUGGCACCUCAAUUUUGCAUCAAUGUCUUCUAUUCCUUGAAAGGUUUAUUCCUAAAACCGUCAGAUCAUCACAGUCUUGAUACAACAUUCACUGCACACUGUUGGUAAAUGAGCCGAGCUCAGCUGUGGUGGAAUGACUAAUUGUUUUGCAUUAGAGAUGUUACGUUCACCAGGAAGUCCUGGAGUUGUGCAUGGCUGGACAUGCAUGGCAGAAAGACUGGUGCUGUUCUUCUGCCGUGCACGAGGGACUGAGGACACACUGCUUUGUUAUAAUGGAAAAGUCAUUCAACUUCUGCAGCGUAGAACUCUUUUCUUCUAUCUAGCUCUUCGAUAUUGCAAAAAUACAUAGUUAUUACCAGUGUGAACCAGGAGAAAAGCCUUUGGCCCUGCCUGUGGCUGGGGGGUUGGAACUUGAUGAUCCCCGGGGCCCCUUCCAACCCAAGCCAUUCUAUGAUUGUGUGUUUCUAUGAAAAGAAGCAUGCUAAAAGUGAUAGAAAGCAAGAUAUCUUUCCUCUCAGCUUUGCCCUGCUGCCUGUACACCCAACUGAAGUCCCAUCCCUCUGGUUCCUGCUAGGAUUCUGGGAAAGCCCAAGCCUGUACUACCUGUCCGUAACACUGAAUAUUGUGAUAUUAUUUUUUCUGUGCUAUUGCCUUGCAAGCACGGAGUGAAAAUUGCACCUAACCAGAAAGACUGGUGGACCAGGCACUUCUCUUGUGUCUGCUGCUACCUGGCUGCUGAUGCAGAUCGUUGGUUUGCUGUGGGCGUUCACUCCUCUUCCACAUCUCAUUGCCUUUAUUUUUGUAAUUUCGCCCUUGCCCCAACCACUCCAAAUCCAGUUUGGGUUUGGACUGCGCAGCUCUGAUUAUGAGUCACAGCAAUAUUCUCACACAUCCCGGUAUAUUAGUUAGGGGACCUGUGAAACAGCAGUAGGACAGAAAGUUAUUAGUUGAAAUUCCCAAAUGAAGGCGCAAGUGCUGAGGAACUCGCUCUGCUUUUAUUUGCCCCAGCUGAGGCAGAAAUCUCGUGCAGCAUGAAUAAAUUGUUACCUGCUAGCUAAGAGAAGGGAGUUAUCCGCUGGGUUACAGCCAUCAGACUUACACUCCGGGUGCAACCUAAGGGGCUCUCCGCUUUCAGACUUGCGGCCCAGUUUUGCAAGACUGCAACUUAGGAAAUUAAAUCUUAUCAGUCUUGAAGCACUUUUUCUCUGGAAGUAAGGGCCCGAGCGCACGGAGAUCCCUCGGAUGGGUUUUGGUCGCAGGACGAGUGGUGGGCUUAAAAUUAAAGUUACAAAGAAGCCAGUGCUUCUGAUGGCUUCUGGCCCUGCCAGCUGCUGGCAGAUGCUAAAUAAGGAGGGCCCAGGUGCUGCUAGAAGCAAGUGAUGGGGAAGAUAACAAGGGGGGUUACCAGCCAUUCCCUCCCAUGCAGAAAAGGCACUCUACAUGUUUGUACUUCUGACCCCAAGAUCAAGUUCCAGAUAACCACAUAUGUAAAGCCCUGUUAUCUUUCAGAGAAGACACAAGAAGCCUAAAACUGAACUCUUUUUUUUUUUUUUUUUCUUCCCAUGAGGAAAUCCUGUAGCAGCACUGCUCCGGCACCGUCACUGCAGCUCUGCUACACCUCUGCUGCAAUGGGUGCUGCAGGAGUGCACGGCAGCGCUCAGAAAUGAGAGGGCUGAACCUCGGGAGCUGUCACCUCCACCAAUCUAACAACAGUUUCCCCAGCUGAGGGCUGGUGGGGAGUGUUUGCUCAUCUGCCUUAGCCCUGGAAAACGAGGAGGUUAAAAAUUAAUCUUUGCAGCUGGCAACUGCUGCAGUGAGCUGACACGGCGGGGCAGAGUUUUUUCCAAUAUCGGGAAUGUUAUGCAGCUUUGGAGUGGCCAAACAGCAGGGCUCACGUGUGGUAGCUUGACCCAGACUGAAGGCACUGCGUGACCUGUGUAGAGCUAAGUGUGCCUUUUUGCACUGACCUGCAGUGCACCUUUUGCACUGACCUGUUUAAUUUUGGUGAUACGAAGAUGUUGGCAUCCUGAUUCCUCACUGUGACAGCGCGCUUCCAUCUGGAAAAGGGAAAACUGUGCUAUGAUGUGUAGAUUUCCUUUGAAUCUGCAGGAUUAGAGGUACUAAUAGCAGGCUAUUUGAGUGGUGUGGGUAACUAUAAAACCUGAUGGUGUACCACCCUCUUAUUAGUGUUCCUUGUGCUUUCCUUUGGCUCAUCAGCUGCAAAAGGACACGGCCACGUGCUGCUGGAAUCGGCUUGAAGCUGAACCUUGAAUUUCAGGUAGAUUAAAAAAAGACAAUCGCUGCUGGAGGAGACUGCAGGAGAUGGAAUCUAAACCUGCUGGAGCCAAACUGACACCAAAAACAGCCAGCCUGCCACCGCUGUAAGUAGUGUAACAGUUACCUGAACAGCUAUAAAAGUGCAAAUCCAUAGAGGGGGCAGGAAAGAACAAAGAGAGAACUGCCCUCCCCGUCUCCCGCUCCGCAGGGAAUAACACGAGCUGCACUACAGCAGCAAAUGCUCCAAGGGGAGAGGAAAGAGCUGCGGCUGAAAUCUCUGUGCAAACCACAGGGAAACAAUUCCGUGUCUCCGGUUCUCUCUGCCUCAUUCCGAUGCUGUGUGAAUAAAUAAGCUCCACGACUGCUGAAGACCUCGUGCAAAUGUGCUCGCACUCUGCUCUCCUGGGGCACAGGCAGUGGCUUUUUUGCACUGUGUGAGCAAAGCCAUUUGUGAGAGCCGAAAAAAAACAAAGCAGAUAUCGUCGCCCAUCACCUCGUGUCCAUUAGAUUAAGUCAACAUCAUUAGAUAAAUUCCUUCUGCAAGAUGCUUCUGCAGAGGGAUUCAAGUGCAUACCUGUCCUGCUUGAAGUACUAAUGCUGCUCCGGCACUAGAAGUAAGUGCCUUUUGAAGGCAGUUCAGAGCCCCCGUGCAGCUGCCUGCUUUAUAGCUCGUAGCUGCAUGUCACCUUUGAAGGCUGGGGAUGGCAGUGGCAGAGCAGUGCCUCCCAGCCGGGGGAAGCAGGCAGUCGGCACAAUCCGUCCCUCGCAAUUAAGGGAGGAAAGCAGAAGCUGGGGAAAAUUCAAGCAGUGUGUUUUAGUAGAGGACCGCUCCCUUACCUCGGUGAAUUACCAGUGCCGCUCACAGGGACGUGCGGGGCCGAUGCAAAGCACAGACAGUAAUAAAGCACACGGGAAACUGGCAUGAAUUAACCUGCAGAAGAGUGAGUUUAUUGCUCUUCAUCAUUUACACGCAUCCUCCUAAAGAAAACAUGAUGAAAACCUGUGUGUAAAUUACCAAGCCAAACGCCGUUCUUCUGUGCUGGGCUCAGAGGGCAAACCUCCCAGUGCAGAAAUACCAUCUUGUGAUAAAAUGACUAAUACAUGACUAAAGCCAUUUUCCAUUGUGCAGGCGGAGCUCUGGGGAUCAAUUGUUUUCCACGGUGGAUCCCUCAGACAGUGAAUUCCUCUGGUGGUUGGUAUGAUAUUCAUGGCCAGGGCUGUCAGUCACCUCCAGGGAACUGAAAUGGGAUGCCACUCCGGUUGCUGUUAUUAAUCUCGACUGCAGGUGUGGAAAUUAAUUUCAUGGGUAUUUUUAUCAUUUCCUUUUUUGUUAAGGAUUAGCAUUUCCCCAUGACCCGGACUCCGGAUGGAGGCCAAUGCAAAGUGGUUUGCCCAGCCCCGCCACAAUGGUGAGCUAAUGCUGGGGAGCAGGAGGGGAAGGGGGCGUGAAACUUUCCAUUCCCGCUUGGUGUGGACAAUGAAUGCCACUGGACGACGUCAGAUGUCAUCACAACAUGCACUUCUCUGCACCAAGACUCCGUAAAGCAAUCCUGGGAAAUGCAGGUUGUUCUCAGUUCUGUGCGAGAAUAACACAUUUGCCAAUAGUGGGAGAAAAAAAAGGCGAAGUUAAAUGUAUGAAACCAAAUCAGAUGUAGCUGCUUAGAAAGCUACAGCUCCUAUUUGCUGGCACCCGGGCUGCUUUCACAUGGAUUUUCUGACAGAUGCUGCUACAUCUCCAUAGUCAAGAAGACAGCUCCAGCCACUGGGCUUCCAACAUGGAGACUAGAGCUGGGAGCCAGGAACAGGAAUGGGAAUGGGAUGGGGAAGAGCUCACCUGGUGGAGAGGGCUGGGGAUGGGAGCAGCUGGAGCCAUGGCAGGGAGAGGAACACACUGUCCCCAGCUCUGCCCAGAAUUAAGCCCUGGCUGCUGGCAGCGAUGCUGGCUCCAGAACUGUCUCAUUUUCAUUGACACCUCCUCCUGCCAAAACCCAGUGAGUAAUUCUCAGGAGAUAAGCAGGUUAGGCCAGAUUCAGCACGAUAAUUGAAGGUUGGAGGUAACGUGAGAUCCUUAUGUGCUCCCGUUGGCACAGCCCCCCUCUGCCAUAAGGCCACGCAAGCCAAGAGCCUUGUGCUGCCGAAGACCCCAUCACUUACCCCACACAUUUCUAUGCUUUACUCACACGAGAUAAGCCCAGUGCAUGGCACUCAGCCCACCACGCCAACUAACGACAAGUCUGUGCCAUCUCGGGCUUUAAGACAUUAAAUCACAGCUUUGUUUAAAAGUCACUGAAGUCGAUCACUCUUAAUAAUGGCCGUCUCACCCUUCGCAGUCACACAUCAAAACACCACCUCCGUAUCGUGCCCCCCUCGCCACUCACUGGUAGUCAGCUUUGAGGAAGAGAGAGCACAUAAAAUUCACAUAUUAUUUCAUGCUGCCACUGCUCCUUGCUGCCGAAACAACUCAGUGCAGAGCAGAAGGGAGAGAAGCAGCAAGGAUUUUCCAGAGCUAAAAUAGAUACCAACGCCUCGUGCGUAUCACAGGGCUUUGCUGGGACAGCUCAGUGGUGUGAUAUUGAUGUGACUGUUUUCUUCUCCUCCUUUAACUGUAGCUUUCUGCAGAGAUCAACCUGGGCACCAGAUUUUACCAGAUUACCUCUAUUUACUCACAUCAGCUAAUUUGAGAGCGAACACGUUAUAUAACCCAACAUCAUCAUCCCAGUUAUAAAUGACGAAUUCCACCAUAAAGCCCGAUAAAAAUCUUUAUUGCAAUUUCACUUUUUAUAUCUUUUAGACAAAUAGGUUUUUGGCAUCAGGGACGUCUGUAUUGAUUUUCACAUCCAGGCUGAACCAUUCAUGGAGACGAGUAAAGUGGGACAUGCAUCAUAGGGUGAGUGCAGCACAAACCUGGUGGCACCAACCUCCAGCCCGAGAGAGAAGUUCCUUCUGGAUCACACGGGCUUAUUUGGGAUAUUCUGAGUGUUUCAGAAACACGAUAAGCAAGCAGUGGAAAUGAUGGAUUCGGCAACACCGAUGCAAAACUGCAAAGAGAACAGAGAGGGAAAGCAAGUUACAUUAGCAGAGAGAAUUCUACAUAAAAUACAGCGGAGCGGCUGGGGAACAGGCAGCCAAGAUGUUCAGCUGCAAGUGGAGUCCAAUUUGAUGCUCAGCAUGAGUUUAAAAGGAAGAUUUUCUCAGCUUUAAAAUAAAAGAGCAGUGUCAGACGUGGAUGGGGCAGCAAGCUGCAGUCACGGGAAUGGGUUGCCCAGGCUCAGGAAAAGUGAGAGCACUGAAAGCAGCUCGUUUUGCUGCCGUACACUUAGGGAUGUGCUCAUUGCAUCCAGGCAAAACACACGUGUAUGUCAGCACCUGGUUUGUGGAGAUCCACCACGAGUCAGUGGGAAUGUUGCCUUUGGGGGAGCAGACCUCAUUCCCUGCUGGCCGAUGGCCCUCAGUUUUUGCAGCCGUGGCCCUUUGACACACACAGAUUGCUGCCAGCCAGGACCCGAUCCUGCUGCCACUGAAAUCAAUGGAAGUUUUGUUGUUGGCUUCCAUGGGAUGAAGGAUUCAAUCCGGCAGUCGAUAGGGUUCGAGUGUCCUUUGUCUAAGUGGGGUCGUGUUAAUUCUGGAGGAUGGGCCUACAUCAUAUCCAUUAUUGGGAUUUGCAGCUGAGCAUAAAAACAGGAUUAGGGGGAAGAGAGAAACAAUCCCAACAGUGAGCGGGGAGCCCCGAGCGAGCCCCGGCCAUCAGCGAGCGUGGGGCAAAGAGAGGGGAAACCCACCGAGGAGGUUCCCCCCCUUUCUGCUCCUUCUGCAGCAAACUUUGAGUCGCCGGCUCGUUAUUAACAAUUAGCAAAGCGUCGGCAGAAGCAAUUAUUGUCACACUCACACAGAUAUUAAUCGAUGGCGUUUGUUUGCCGCUGCUUCUGUUCCCUCUGCUCCGACACCGCAGCACCACCAGCAAAUCGGGAUGCGUGGUACAUAUGCUGGUGCUCCACUUAAUAAAAAAGACACCUAUAUUUUCAGAUAAACUUUGUUAGUAAUUCAUGAGGUAAGUGACUAUUUAUGCUAAUCGGGGAGAAAUAUAUUCUCGAGCGGAGCGCGUUCCAUAAAUUUGAAUGCAAAACGUUCAAUUAUGAAGUAAACACAGGUAAUGCAAAUAGUAAAUUACCUCCAAUAAAAAUAUAUAAAGAACGUGUCUUCAAAGGGAGCGCGGCUCCUAUUUGCGUCUGCGAGUUGCUUAAAGAGCAAAGGAUUCAUAAACGCCGAAUCGCUGCCGCGAUGAUUGAGCUCCCAUUGCCCGACCCGCGCUGACUGCCCGCAAUCACAGCGCUGUUCCGUACCCCCGAUAGAAGGCAGGACUGUUUCCUCAGCAAUUUUAUCCCCGCCAGAUUAUCUCGUCUGAUUCUAUUAAUUCUCUCCCAUAAAUCUGCUAACAGCGAUCUGUGAUUUACUCACCCUGUUAACUGAUCUGAGGACUGUUAAAAGGAUUUAUCUGGCGCUGCACCUAGGAGCGGGUUGUGCCUUAUCACUGUGCUCCGAAGAAGCCUUUUGGAAAGCAAUUUGCCCGCUUCCAUAGUCAAAUUCAGCGGGCACUCUUUAGUUCUGCACCAUAAAAAUCAGACACCGGGCAAACAAAGGGAGCGGUAACUGUUCUUAAUGUGUUGUUCUUGAUCCGCACCCAGGGCAGAACGCGUCGUGGUCUGAGCUCCUAACCUGGAGCAGGGCAGGAGGUGUGGGGAUGUGAGCAGGAGGUGUGGGGAUGUGGGCUGUGCGCUGCCUGGGUCCGUGCUGGGAAAGGGAGCGGGGCUGGGACGUGGCCUGGUGGCAAAACCCGAGCCUGAAUGGCUCUAAUUGAAAUGAAAGCGUGCGAUUGUUUGGGGAGAAACGCUGUUAAUAGGGGACUGUAAAUGUUUAGACAGCCGUCGUGAAUAGCCAAAUAAUAAAGGAAAAUAGCACUACAGUGAGAAUGGCGGAGGGGAGGGAGGAGAGCGUUGCUGCUCCUGAAGGUGAUCCAAAAAAUUGCUAAUAAUCCUUUCUCUCUGCUACGCCGUGCCGUUUUGGGGCGGCAGCUCUGCAAUCAUCACACCAGAACAAUGCUGUACAGUAACUCCAGUGCUGCCCUGGAGGUCAGAGCUCCGCAUGCACUCACCCACAUCAGUGCUAAGGAAGAGGCUCCCCCUUAGCUCACCCAAAUUUGUGCUCUUCGUCUCAAGUUUACUCAGAAAUCUACUGGUUUGCAAGAGGAGCACUCUGAAUCCAAACAGUUUGAUGGGGCCGGAGCUGUGUUUCCACAGACAUCCAUCAAACGUGCAAGUGGAACACUGCGAGUGUGCGUUCCAAAAAGCAAUAACCUUCACUUUUUGUGCCUCUCAUAGGCGAGCGCGUUAAGUGACAUACAGUGCCACAUUCAUCUUGCAAUGGGAAAAACAAGUCUGGGGAAUGGGGCCGUCCUGGAGGGCGGGGGGGGGGUUAUGCUGUGAGCUGGGAACUUUUGCUGGUUCCGAUGGUGUGCAGGAAUAGGAAAGCCAAGCCGAGUUGCACUCGGUUUGUCACUAAUUGCAGUCUCUAAGAUAAACCCGGCAGAUGUCCGGGUGUCUUUGGGGCUGCGCAGAACCACGCUCAUGUUGUUCGUGCCGUCGGAGCAUGCUUUAGGUCUGCAGAAUCGCCUCUGCGAUCCCAUCUAGGUGUCGUUAGCCUGCUCGCCUCGCAGCGUGCCCUCCCUGCCUUUUGGCUGCCGGGAGCAGCGCAGCCGCACGGGUUUGUGCCGAUAAUGGCACGGUCGGGAGAUGUUAUCUAUUCGUGAGCCCACUCUCCCCGUACUAUUUCCUAAGCAGAGAAUUCUUCGGCUGUUGCAAACGAUGCUUUUCACAGUUGGUGAAAAAUUACCCAGCAACUCACCCGCACCUACGAAGUCUUAUAAAUAGCAAACUGCGAGGGGAAGGGGGAAAAGGAGCAUCUGAAGUACAACGUUCAAGACGCCGGUUUAAUAUAUGACCAAGUGUCAGAAGUCAGGUUUCUGAGAAUUACUUUCCAGAUAAACAACUUCACGGCACCGCACUUCAUCUUACUUACUAGAGACACCCCAUUUAUCACGGAAUUACAAGGAACUUUAAUUCUAUCGAUAUUCCCAUAAAAUCCAGCCUGGCAGCUCGGGAGGGGCACUGCGGGAGCACCGGGACCGCCGCAGCUCAACCCCCCC